GGCUCCUCCUUCUAAUCCACCAACUUAGUGUUGAUGAAGACUAAACAGAGAGAUCACAGCUUCUUUAUACUUGCUGUAGCUCACAGUUACUCUACACUGCAGAUAUGACGCCUCUGUUCAUCUCAGUGCUGCUGGCUGCUAUGUGCCUCGAAUGCAGAGCACAAAAAGACAACGUGCUGCAAGCAAAAGGAGAAGAGACUGCUGCUGCAGGAGGCACAGUGACACUUGACUGUCUCUAUAACAGCAGUACAACAAAUAAUUAUCUCUUCUGGUACAAACAGGAUGGAAACAACAGCCCCAAAUUCAUCCUGAUGCGCUAUAGUGGGGAUCAAGGAAACACAGCAGAGGAGUUCAAGGAGAGAUUUUCAUCCACACUGGAUUCCAGCAUCAGAUCAGUUCCUCUGAAGAUCCAGAAGCUUCAGCUGUCUGACUCUGCUGUGUACUACUGUGCUCUGCAGCCCACAGUCAACAAUAAUCCCACCGUCCCCAAGUCCACCACCAUCAGUGGCCUCAACGACUACAGAACCAUCGCUCUGACUCCAGUAGUUGCUAAGUGCUUUGAGAAGCUCGUUUUAAUGCACAUAAAAGACUACCUCUCACCCAGCUUCGACCCCCACCAGGUUUGCCUAUAA